UACAGAGGGGGCUAGCGUUGUUCGGAAUUACUGGGCGUAAAGGGCGCGUAGGCGGCCUGUUAAGUCGAACGUGAAAUCCCCGGGCUCAACCCGGGAACUGCGUCCGAUACUGGCAGGCUUGAAUCCGGGAGAGGGAUGCGGAAUUCCAGGUGUAGCGGUGAAAUGCGUAGAUAUCUGGAGGAACACCGGUGGCGAAGGCGGCAUCCUGGACCGGCAUUGACGCUGAGGCGCGAAAGCCAGGGGAGCAAACGGG
rnacentral:rRNA from 1 species